CCUACGGGAGUCAGCAGUGGGGGAUAUUCCACAAUGGGGGGAACCCUGAUGCAGCGACGCCGCGUGGGUGAAGGAGUGCUUCGGCAUGUAAAGCACUAUCGUCAGGGAAGAAGCAAGACGGGAGCUGACUAAGAAGCCCCGGCUAAAUACGUGCCAGCAGCCGCGGACAUACGUAGGGGGCGUGCUUUGUCCGGAUUCACUGGGUGGAAAGGGAGCGGAGACGGCCAUGCAAGCCAGGGGUGAAAUCCCGGGGCCCAACCCCCGGACUGCCCUUGGAACUGGAUGGCUGGAGUGCUGGAGGGGCAGGCGGAAUUCCUGGUGUAGCGGUGAAAUGCGUAGAUAUCAGGAGGAACACCGGCGGCGAAGGCGGCCUGCUGGACCGCGACUGACGUUGAGGCUCGAAAGCGUGGGGAGCGAACAGGAUUAGAUACCCUUGUAGUC
rnacentral:rRNA from 1 species